GGAAUACNUUGUUGCAUNGCUGGCGGUUAAAUUUAACACAUGACACGUCGUGCGAGAAAGUAUCUUCGGAUAUGAGUAUUGCGGCGGACGGGUGAGUAACGCGUAGGAAUCUACCUAGUAGAAGGGGAUAGCCCGGGGAAACUCGGAUUAAUACCGUAUACGUCCUUAGGGAGAAAGAGGGCCGCUCUUGAAGCUCUCGCUAUUAGAUGAGCCUGCGUAAGAUUAGCUUGUUGGUGAGGUAAUGGCUUACCAAGGCUACGAUCUUUAGCUGGUCUGAGAGGACGAUCAGCCUCAUUGGGACUGAGACACGGCCCAGACUCCUACGGAAGGCAGCAGUGGGGAAUAUUGGACAAUGGGCGCAGGCCUGAUCCAGCCAUACCGCGUGUGUGAAGAAGGCCUUCGGGUUGUAAAGCACUUUAAGCAGGGAGAAAAAGCAAUAAGUUAAUACCGUAUUGCCGUGAUGUUACCUGCAGAAUAAGCNCCGGCUAAUUCCGUGCCAGCAGCCGCGGUANUACGGAAGGUGGCAAGCNUUAAUCGGAAUUACUGGGCGUAAAGCCGCGCGUNGGUGGGUUGUUAA
rnacentral:rRNA from 1 species